GCAAAGUUCGUGGGAACAGCUACUUCAAGUCAGAUAUGGAGAGAGAUGCUACUGAAGUCCCGGUCCUGUUGUAGUGGCACAGCAGAAGCAUCAAUCACCAUGCUCAGACGGCCAAAACUUCUCGUGGAAGCACACCGGGAACAGACUGCAACCUAACAAAUGAGUGACAGUGGAUGCAGAUCAACAUACCAAAACAAGACCAAGCCAAAUGAUGGCAGAACUUUGUCAAGAGCUUGUGCUUGAAGCUGUCGCCCUUGCUGUCACCUCACAUUUCAUUCUUCUUUUCCCACUAUUUUUGGUGUUACAGCAGUCCCAUGCCUUCUUUUGAACCUGAGGUGCUCUUACUGUAACUUCCAACAUUUCUCCUUACAAUUCACAUGAGAAAAUUAUACAGAUCAAUAAAUACUAAUGCAGUACUCACUACACUCAAUUCACUGUUUGUACUUAUUCCUCAAAAAAUUCCCAAUUUGUUUA